CCUACGGGGCGCAGCAGUGGGGAAUUUUCCGCAAUGGGCGAAAGCCUGACGGAGCAAUGCCGCGUGGGGGUAGAAGGCCCACGGGUCGUGAACUUCUUUUCCCGGAGAAGAAGCAAUGACGGUAUCUGGGGAAGAAGCAUCGGCUAACUCUGUGCCAGCAGCCGCGGUAAUACAGAGGAUGCAAGCGUUAUCCGGAAUGAUUGGGCGUAAAGCGUCUGUAGGUGGCUUUUUAAGUCCGCCGUCAAAUCCCAGGGCUCAACCCUGGACAGGCGGUGGGAACUACCAAGCUGGGGUACGGUAUGGGGCAGAGGGAAUUUCCGGUGGAGCGGUGAAAUGCGUAGAGAUCGGAAAGAACACCAACGGCGAAAGCACUCUGCUGAGCCGACACUGACACUGAGAGACGAAAGCUAGGGGAGCGAAUGGGAUUAGAUACCCCUGUAGUC
rnacentral:rRNA from 1 species